UAGGUCUCUGCACCUUGAAAUAAAACACGAACACGAACACGAACACGGAGAGGAGCUUCUCUGAAACAAAGCCCCCAGAGACAGAGAGAGAAAAAGAAGCGUUAAUCUUUGCUUCCUAUUACUCUCUCUGAUUCGAUCCUCUCUUCUGUUUCUUCUCGUUAAUCUCUCUCUUUUUUUGUUGUAUAUUUCUGUAUUCUACACACACAUAUGACGAGAAUUCAUCGGAAUCGUGAUCGCACCGGUAAUUCUAACGGCAGCAAUGUCUUUAAUUUGCUUGCACGGAGAGAGAUUUCACCAAGAACAAAACAUGUAGCAAGAGAUGCAAAGCGUGGCCUAUUGUCAUGGGUUGAGGCCGAUUCACUGCGGCAUUUAUCAGCCAAGUAUUGUCCUUUACUACCUGCGCCAAGGUCUACUAUUGCAGCGGCGUUUAGUCCAGAUGGAAAAGUUCUUGCAUCCACACAUGGUGACCACACAGUGAAGAUAAUCGACUGUGAAACUGGACGUUGCUUAAAGGUGUUAAUUGGCCAUAUGAGGACGCCUUGGGUGGUUAGGUUCCAUCCAUUGCAUCCAAAAAUACUUGCUAGUGGGAGCUUGGAUCAAGAAGUUCGAUUAUGGGAUGCUAACACAUCGGAGUGCAUAACAUCUCACCACUUCUAUCGACCAAUUGCAUCCAUUGCUUUUCAUGCCAAAGGGGAAAUAAUUGCCGUUGCAUCAGGCCACAAGCUGUACAUAUGGCACUACGACAAGAAAGGCGAAGCAUCCUACUCCCCAAUUUUUGUGUUAAAGACAAGGCGAUCUCUACGGGCUGUUCAUUUUCACCCUCAUGCUGCGCCAUAUCUUUUAACGGCCGAGGUCAAUGAUCUUGACUCUUCAGAUUCCUCAAUGACAGAGGCAACAUCCAUUGGUUACUUACAAUAUCCUCCACCUGCUGUUUUUGUCACAAAUGUUCAUCCUACAGAACAUGUUACUUUGUCCAGUGAACCAACUAAUGUGUCAUUGCCUUUCUUCCUCGUGCCUCCGUAUACUGUUGAUGAGUCGAGAGCAGAGUUACAGCAUGCUAGUCAUGACGCUGGUUCAGGUAGAAUACAAAUUGAGUCUUCUGCCGUGGCUCAGUUUCAAGCGGACACAAAUUCAACAGAACAACAUGAUACUACAGUGUCUCCCAUGGAUACAGUCUCGGAGAUUCCCACUAACUCUCAAGCUGGUACAGAAUAUCCUGCGCAUACUGCUUUCUCUAAUGGAAUGGGAAUUGGCAUCGGCAACCUCACAAUGGACGGUAUGGAGACUGAUGAAACAAGACCGGCUGAAGGAAGUCAACACAGAAACCCUACCGAUGCAAGUUCUCUUAAUGGUAUGUUACAUGGAUUAUCUAGACAAACCGCAAAUCAUGGGGUUCAUCCAGAGGAUGGUCAUCCGUUUGUUUCUUCAAGAGACCCAAGUGGAUGGGAAUUACCUUUUCUACAAGGAUGGAUGAUGGGUCAAAGCCAAGCUGGUCUCCCCUCAAUGCUACCUCACACGGGUGUUAGUCGUGACACUCUAGCUCCACAGAUUAGUUCUAGUGUAAUGGCUAAUACUCUUCCCACUUCUAAUGCUGAUGUAGCAAUGCCAUCUUCAGCAAUGUCUGGCAGCAUUAACAUACCCGGAUCUUCUGUAAGAUCAGGUUUGCGGAGUCAUUUUUCACACUCACGGACACCUGUAUCUGAAUCUGGAAAUCUUGCUGCUUCUAUUAAUACCCCACAUGAUGGAUCUGACAUCCAAACCAUCAUGAGUCGAAUCCAGUCAGAACUCGCAACGUCUGUGGCUGCAGCGGCAGCUACCGAGCUGCCUUGUACCGUGAAGUUAAGGGUGUGGUCUCAUGACAUAAAAAAUCCCUGUUCCCCACUAAAUGCUGACAGAUGUCGUCUAAUUAUACCUCAUGCCGUCCUCUGCAGUGAAAUGGGUGCUCACUUUUCACCAUGCGGUAGAUUUUUAGCUGCCUGUGUUGCAUGUAUGCUUCCUCAUAUAGAAGCUGAUCCUGGAUUACAAACUCCAGUACAUCAAGAGUCUGGUAUUGCAACAUCACCAACUCGGCAUCCAAUAUCAGCACACCAAGUUAUGUAUGAGCUGCGGAUAUAUUCCCUUGAGGAGGCAACAUUUGGGUUGGUGCUUGCGUCUCGGGCAAUUAGAGCAGCUCAUUGUCUGACUUCAAUUCAGUUCUCACCUACAUCUGAGCACAUACUCCUUGCCUAUGGUCGACGUCAUGGUUCUCUUCUUAAAAGCAUUGUCAUUGAUGGAGAAACAACAUUACCUAUAUAUACAGUAUUAGAGGUAUAUAGAGUUUCAGAUAUGGAACUUGUUAGGGUGCUUCCGAGUGCUGAAGAUGAGGUCAAUGUGGCAUGCUUUCAUCCUUUUCCCGGGGGCGGGCUAGUUUAUGGAACAAAGGAAGGAAAGCUUAGGAUCCUCCACUAUGAUGGUGCUCGCCCGGUGAAUGGGACUGGACCAAGUUACUUUCCUGAGGAGACCAUCGUUGGAGUCAGUCAGUGAGCAAAGGUUCAAAAAUGAUUAGAGAUGGAAUCCAGUGAUCUGCUUCACAUUAUCUUUACUACUCACGUGCUGUUUCCGCUGAUGAUCUGUACAAAGUUAACAUCAUCAUAUCCAGGGCUGAGCACAGGCAACAAAGAACUGGAACUUCACACUCACUGCAUUAGCAAAUGUAUAUUUUUGUAUUAUCAAUGUAUGAGUAUGUAUUAUUAGUUGUAUUAAUGUUCUCCUGUUGUAAAAAUGUGUGUUCCCUUUUACUCCCACCCGCCUCUUUCCUCAUGUCCAUUAGGGGGCGACUUCCUUUCCACGUGUAACAUGUGUAACAUGUUCAGUAGUUACAAGGGGGAAACAAAUUUAUCCUCAUCAGAGAAAUCUCAUAAUUUAGAAACAUGAAUUUACUGUGACAUUUUUACAUGAUCUUAUAACGUAAAUUUUGUAUUUGCAUUUUUGAA